rnacentral:rRNA from 1 species
UACGGAGGGUGCGAGCGUUGUCCGGAAUCACUGGGCGUAAAGGGCGCGUAGGUGGCCCCUCAAGCGUGCGGUGAAAGUCAGGGGCUCAACCCCUGAUCGGCCGUGCGAACUGGGGAGCUUGAGCACUGUAGAGGCAGGCGGAAUUCCGGGUGUAGCGGUGGAAUGCGUAGAGAUCCGGAAGAACACCGGUGGCGAAGGCGGCCUGCUGGGCAGUUUUGCUGACACUGAGGCGCGACAGCGUGGGGAGCAAACAGG